rnacentral:rRNA from 1 species
GACGAACGCUGGCGGCGUGCUUAACACAUGCAAGUCGAACGGUAAGGCCCUUCGGGGUACACGAGUGGCGAACGGGUGAGUAACACGUGGGUGAUCUGCCCUGCACUUCGGGAUAAGCCUGGGAAACUGGGUCUAAUACCGGAUAGGACCACUGCCUGCAUGGGUGGUGGUGGAAAGCUUUUGCGGUGUGGGAUGGGCCCGCGGCCUAUCAGCUCGUUGGUGGGGUGAUGGCCUACCAAGGCGACGACGGGUAGCCGGCCUGAGAGGGUGACCGGCCACACUGGGACUGAGAUACGGCACAGACUCCUACGGGAGGCAGCAGUGGGGAAUAUUGCACAAUGGGCGCAAGCCUGAUGCAGCGACGCCGCGUGAGGGAUGACGGCCUUCGGGUUGUAAACCUCUUUCAGCACCGACGAAGCGCAAGUGACGGUAGGUGCAGAAGAAGGACCGGCCAACUACGUGCCAGCAGCCGCCGUAA